rnacentral:rRNA from 1 species
UACGGAAGGGGGCUAGCGUUGCUCGGAAUCACUGGGCGUAAAGCGCACGUAGGCGGCUUUCUAAGUCAGGGGUGAAAUCCUGGAGCUCAACUCCAGAACUGCCUUUGAUACUGGGGAUCUCGAGUCCGGAAGAGGUGAGUGGAACUGCGAGUGUAGAGGUGAAAUUCGUAGAUAUUCGCAAGAACACCAGUGGCGAAGGCGGCUCACUGGUCCGGUACUGACGCUGAGGUGCGAAAGCGUGGGGAGCAAACAGG